rnacentral:rRNA from 1 species
AGCGUAGGCGGCGUGGUAAGUCAGAUGUGAAAUCCCGGGGCUCAACCCCGGAACUGCAUCCGAUACUGCCGUGCUAGAGGAUUGGAGAGGUAGCUGGAAUUCACGGUGUAGCAGUGAAAUGCGUAGAUAUCGUGAGGAACACUCGUGGCGAAAGCGAGCUACUAGACAACUCCUGACGCUGAGGCUCAAGGCCAGGGUAGCGAAAG